UACGUAGGGGACAAGCGUUGUCCGGAAUUAUUGGGCGUAAAGCGCGUGUAGGCGGCCAAGUAAGUCUUACGUGAAAACCUAAGGCUCAACCUUGGGCUUGCAGUGGGUACGGGCAGACUAGAGUGCGGUAGGGGUGACUGGAAUUCCUGGUGUAGCGGUGGAAUGCGCAGAUAUCAGGAGGAACACCGAUGGCGAAGGCAGGUCACUGGGCCGCAACUGACGCUGAGGAGCGAAAGCAUGGGGAGCGAACAGG
rnacentral:rRNA from 1 species